AGCCCUCACAAAGCAUCCCUGUGUGUCCUCAUGCAUUAACCUCAUUUUGUGUGUGCAUAUAGGUUUGAUGUGUACCUGCAUUUGUGGGUUUACUGCCCCCCCUCUCUGCAUAACCACCAGCCCAGUUUCCUGAGCCGGCACACGCCCCUGUGCCCAAGGGCAACACGAUACCUCCUAAGUGGGUGGCUGGAAAUACCUCUGUGACACCAGUACUUUCUGCAGCCAGUGCGUGGCGUGUGAAAAGGCUCAGAAUCAGGAGCUAUCUGUAUCUGGAUGAAGUUUCUUUGGCUCCUGUUGGUCUACCAAAGCAGCUGAGAGGCAGAGAUCAGACCCUACAAAGUCUCUGCAGUCCACACAGGUCCUUGUUUUUAGUGGACCUUCUGAUGGCAGCACUCUUGUGUUGGAGAUGAACUUCCAGUGCACCGACCUUUUACACCAAUUGUCCUAAUGACCAUUAGGGGCAUUGGAAGUAGAGACAGUGAGAUGAAGACAGAGUUACCAGACUGUUGACAACUGCCUGACUGCUAAGAGAGACCUUUGCUCUUGCUUCAGACUGCAGGAUGAUUUACAAAACAAUCCUAUCUUGGUGGUGAGGCAGUGAAGCAACCACAUGUUGUCUUUGGAGGGGAUGGAUGAGAAGUCUUGUCAAUGCUUGAAACGGUUGAAACUGAGGCAGGCUCAUCACUUCCUGGCUCAAACCCACCUUCUCAGCAUUUCUGAGUAUUCACAAGACCAGUCAUCAUGCCCAAAUGGGGUAAACUUGCUGGCCUGCAUCUCAAGAUGGCCACGGGAAUCUCCCCUAAACAUUGCUAAGCAAAACCAAAGGUCCCAAUCAAGCUGUCCUUGGGUGCAACUAUUGCCUGUGGCAAAUGGUGGUGAUAGUCAUGCAGGGCUGGAUCAGUGCAACAGCUAGGGGCCAGUUCAGUGAGGCCUGGGUAAGCAUCAGAAUGAAGAUGUGGAAGUGCAACCAGAUGCACAUCUUAUCAUCUUACAUAUGGAUGCCCACAUCCAUGCACCAGUCUUUCCCACUGGAUCAGAGUGAUAGUGUGAAUUCCUGCUGGAACAGGUGCAAUGGAGCACAGAGAAAGAAGAUUGCAGCAGUAUUUGCUUACAUCCUGACUGAGCAUGCACCCACAUGGCAGAAAGAAAUGUCCUUGCUGCAAAGUGUUUCCUGAGUUCGACAGUGCCUAUCAUGCAAAGGGGAGUGUGAUUUAAAUGUCCUACACCACCUAAAAAUAUGUCCCUGAGGGCUGCACAGCCAUCAGGGACAUAUCUUCAGGUGACUUGGGGCCUCCAGGGGAAUGAGUAAUUGGCAAAAACCUCCUCCCUUGCAUAAUAGGCGCUGCAGAGCUCAGGAAGCUCUCAGCAGCAGAGACAUCUUUUCCUGGCAGGUGAGCACAUGCUCAGUCAGGAAGUCAGCUAGUGACUAAAUCAUGUUUACUUAUGUUGAUACAUAAUUACAUUUGUUU